rnacentral:tRNA from 1 species
GGUGGCUCAAUGGUAGAGCACUUGCCUUGCAUGCAUGAGGCCGUGGGUUCAAUUCCUCAGCACCA